rnacentral:rRNA from 1 species
AUGUCUUCCUCCGCCACCUUCCACGCAAACCUCAAUGGCCAGGUUCCGAAGAAACUCUCUCGCACGAACUAUGUGCUCUGGCGUACUCAGAUCACGCCCCAGCUGAGAGGGGCAGGUCUCUUCGGCUAUGCCGAUGGCACCAUGCCCGAACCAGCGCCUCGUCUUGUCACCAAGGACAAGGAUGGGAAGGAAACCUCCGAGCCCAACCCUCUCCACCCCAUCUGGGUCAGGGAGGACCAGCAGGUGCUCGGCUAUCUCCUCAGCAACCUCUCCAAGGAGGUGCUGAUCACGGUGACCGCGAUC